rnacentral:lncRNA from 1 species
GUUUCAUUCGCCAUAGAUUAUCCAUAAAGGAGAAAGUGUUUGGUAUCAUGAUGCACAGUGUUUCUAUAGCAACUCAAACAACAAAGGAACUUGUUCUGAAGGUAACACAUAUUCCUUUUGCCUUUUGUUCUUCUCAUUCUUGUUAUUUUGAGUGCAUAUAUAGGACAAACGUCUAAUUAUUUACUUUUUUUCCUACAGAAGACAGAUUAUGCCAUGAGACCCACUUAAAUAAUGUAGUGCACUUCAUCGGAACACACUGAGUGAUUCCAUGGUAAAGAAUGUUGGAAAUUGAUUUGGGAAUAAAAAAAUUGUAGAAAUCCAAGUUUUGAGGGCUCAUGAGAUU